rnacentral:rRNA from 1 species
AAUAGCCUAACGGCUGAACCAGCAACUUGGAGGAAUGUAUAGCUACGGCUAAUUGUGUAUAUCUACACGAUAUCGACUCUGUCGAAUAAAAUUCUGGGUAAAUUAUGAUGAUGACAUUUUUUACCUAUGUGUCUUGACCAAAUUGUGUGCCAGCAGUCGCGGUAAUACAUAGAAGACUAGUGUUAUUCAUCUUUAAUAGGUUUAAAGGGUACCUAGACGGUAGAUCAAGCCCUAGACGGGACUAAUUUGCUAGAGUUACUUAUGAGGGGGCUUUAAAGUACUAAUGGUGUAGAGAUAAAAUUUUGUAAUACCAUUUUUCGUAAAGAAAAAUUAUGGCACUGGUAAAGGUGAAAGCAUCCCCCUAUGUGAUAA